GACGAACGCUGGCGGCGCGCCUAACACAUGCAAGUCGAACGGAGCUGAGAGAAGCUUGCUUUUCUUAGCUUAGUGGCGAACGGGUGAGUAACGCGUGAGUAACCUGCCCUGGAGUGGGGGACAACAGUUGGAAACGACUGCUAAUACCGCAUAAGCCCACGAUCCGGCAUCGGAUUGAGGGAAAAGGAUUUAUUCGCUUCAGGAUGGACUCGCGUCCAAUUAGCUAGUUGGUGAGGUAACGGCCCACCAAGGCGACGAUUGGUAGCCGGACUGAGAGGUUGAACGGCCACAUUGGGACUGAGACACGGCCCAGACUCCUACGGGAGGCAGCAGUGGGGGAUAUUGCACAACGGGGGAAACCCUGAUGCAGCGACGCCGCGUGGAGGAAGAAGGUUUUCGGAUUGUAAACUCCUGUCGUGAGGGACGAUAAUGACGGUACCUAACAAGAAAGCACCGGCUAACUACGUG
rnacentral:rRNA from 1 species